GCGUUGUUCGGAAUUACUGGGCGUAAAGGGCGCGUAGGCGGCCUACUAAGUCGGACGUGAAAUCCCUCGGCUCAACCGAGGAACUGCGUCCGAUACUGGCGAGGCUUGAAUUCGGGAGAGGGAUGUGGAAUUCCAGGUGUAGCGGUGAAAUGCGUAGAUAUCUGGAGGAACACCGGUGGCGAAGGCGGCAUCCUGGACCGAGAUUGACGCUGAGGCGCGAAAGCUA
rnacentral:rRNA from 1 species